rnacentral:rRNA from 1 species
UAAGGAAUAUUGGUCAAUGGACGAAAGUCUGAACCAGCUAUGCCGCGUGGAGGAUGAAGGCCCUCUGGGUUGUAAACUUCUUUUAUAUGGGACGAAAAAGGGCCUUUCUAGGUCAACUGACGGUACCAUGUGAAUAAGCACCGGCUAACUCCGUGCCAGCAGCCGCGGUAAUACGGAGGGUGCAAGCGUUAUCCGGAUUCACUGGGUUUAAAGGGUGCGUAGGUGGGUUGGUAAGUCAGUGGUGAAAUCUCCGAGCUUAACUUGGAAACUGCCAUUGAUACUAUCAGUCUUGAAUAUUGUGGAGGUUAGCGGAAUAUGUCAUGUAGCGGUGAAAUGCUUAGAUAUGACAUAGAACACCAAUUGCGAAGGCAGCUGGCUACACAUAUAUUGACACUGAGGCACGAAAGCGUGGGGAUCAAACA